GCGCCCCUAGCUCAGUUGGUAGAGCGGUGGAACGGUGAUCUACAGUCCCGGGUUGAAGUCCCGGCGGUCGCU